ensembl:lncRNA
CACAAGUUUCUGAUAUGUUUAUUUGUGGAACUGUAAGGAUAUCAGAAGUUCCUGGUAAUGUAAUGGUAAUGAGGGUUUUAUAUUUAAUUGAAAUAAAAGCUGGAGAGUCAGAAGAGCUGAUGAACAUUUUACCAAGAGAAGAAUAUGUGCCUAAAGUUUAUUUAAAAAAAAAAAAGGAAGUUCAGAGGACGGUCAGAGUAGCUAUAGCAAGAAACAGCCUUUAAAACAGAAACUGAUUCACAGUAAUGUCAAAUCCCCAGCCUCAAAACAUAUGAGCCAAGGCCUGGUCUCGUCUGGUUGUGCUAACUUAUUUAACUGACAAACGCUGAAACUUAAAUACACCUCAUGUAUAUGUUUCAAUUUUCACAAACCAAAAUCAACAGUGUACAAAUUAAAAAUAAAUUGGCUGAGGACAUAGUGACCACAAACAUUUGCAUGCGUACGUCUAACAGCAAAUAUACCGUUUCCUGUUACACUUCUUUCUUUAAUAAACAGGAAGAAAGGGAACUCAAAGUUACACAAUUCUGUUUCGAGGAUACAAAUAAAAAAAUCCCUCAGUUUUUCUUACAAGUGGGAGUGGUCAUACAGUCAAAAACACAAGUACAAACCAAGUAGCUCCAAAAUCCAAAUAUUAGACAGCUAGUUAGAAGUGCUCAUCAAUCAGAUGUUUCUUUCAUAGAUUAAAUAUUAGAAAUGUGGAAUCAGCAUUUGUUAUUGAAAUCUGUGUGAUUAUUAUUUCAAUAAUGGACCAAAAAGAAAACUAAAUUCAUAAUUAGCACUAACACCAACCAAAGUCACUGAAUUUAGAAAUGUAUCUUAACUCAUCAUGAAAUUUUAAUAAUCAGUAUAGCAACAAGCAAAGUUUGUCACAGAAUCAUUGGUCUGACUGUGGAAAGCUAUUCUACCACAAUACUGAAAUUCCUUGCAGGACUGCAGGGUAUAUUGCUUGCUCUCUGCUGUUCAUAUUUCUGAAAAUGAACAGGGAGACAUUGGUUUCCAACCUUGUUGCAUGCCACAAUCACAACCCUUUUCUUUGCACCAACUGUAAUUUUACAAUCCUUGUUGCUUUUUGUGGAUAUGACUUCAUAUAUCAGCAUUUCUGAGUUGCUGAUGCACAAGUUCCCUGCAUAGUUAUCCGUCUUGCUUAAGCGUCGACCGUCUCUGCUGCAGAUUCUGAUCACGUUCUCCAGAUCACUUUUAUUGAGGAACGAUUGCACUGUAGUUCUGCACCAGAGGUGUUCUUUUUUCAAAUACCUGCGUUAAU